GACGAACGCUGGCGGCGUGCUUAACACAUGCAAGUCGAGCGGAGCGGCGAACGGGUGAGUAACACGUGAGUAACUGCCCCCCUCUCUGGGAUAACAGUUGGAAAAGGCUGCUAAUACCGGAUAGUGGGGGAUGACUCGCGUCCUAUCAGCUUGUUGGUCGGGUAGUGGCCUACCAAGGGGACGACGGGUAGCCGGCCUGAGAGGGCGGCCGGCCACAUUGGGCUGAGAUACGCAGCAAACGCGUACGGUAGGCAACAGGGGGGAAUAUUGCACAAUGGGGCAAAGCGUGAGGCAGAAACGCCGCGUGCGGAAUGACGUCCUUCCAGUGGUAAACCGCUUUCAGCCAUGACGCGGUAGUGGCAGAAGAAGCACCGGCUAACUACGUGCCAGCAGCCGCGGUAAUAC
rnacentral:rRNA from 1 species